rnacentral:rRNA from 1 species
CCAGACUCCUACGGGAGGCAGCAGUGGGGAAUAUUGCACAAUGGGGGAAACCCUGAUGCAGCAACGCCGCGUGAGUGAAGAAGUAUUUCGGUAUGUAAAGCUCUAUCAGCAGGGAAGAAGAAGGACGGUACCUGACUAAGAAGCCCCGGCUAACUACGUGCCAGCAGCCGCGGUAAUACGUAUGGUGCAAGCGUUAUCCGGAUUUACUGGGCGUAAAGGGAGCGCAGGCGGCGCGCCAAGUCUGAUGUGAAACCCCGGGACUCAACCCCGGGCAUGCAUUGGAAACUGGCGGGCUGGAGUGCCGGAGAGGUAAGCGGAAUUCCUAGUGCAGCGGUGAAAUGCGUAGAUAUUAGGAGGAACACCAGUGGCGAAGGCGGCUUACUGGACGGCAACUGACGCUGAGGCUCGAAAGCGUGGGGAGCAAACAGGAUUAGAUACCCUAGUA